UACUGAAGGUCCGGGCGUUAUCCGGAUUUAUUGGGUUUAAAGGGAGCACAGGCCGAAGGUUAAGCGUGACGUGAAAUGUAGUUCUCAACAUCUGCACUGCGUCGCGAACUGGCUUUCUUGAGUUAGUACGACGUGGACGGAAUUCGUGGUGUAGCGGUGAAAUGCUUAGAUAUCACGAAGAACCCCGAUUGCGAAGGCAGUCCACGAGUCCUUUACUGACGCUAAAGCUCGAAAGUGCGGGUAUCGAACA
rnacentral:rRNA from 1 species